rnacentral:rRNA from 1 species
UACGGGGGGGGGCAAGCGUUUGUUCGGAAUUACUGGGCGUAAAGGGCUCGUAGGCGGCCAACUAAGUCAUACGUGAAAUCCCCCCGGCUUAACCUGGGAACUGCGUCUGAUACUGGACGGCUUUGAGUAUGGGAGAGGGAUGUAGAAUUCCAGGUGUAGCGGUGAAAUGCGUAGAUAUCUGGAGGAAUACCGGUGGCGAAGGCGGCAUCCUGGACCAUUACUGACGCUGAGGCGCGAAAGCUAGGGGAGCAAACGGG